AGUGAACGCUGGCGGUAGGCCUAACACAUGCAAGUCGAACGGCAGCACAGUAAGAGCUUGCUCUUACGGGUGGCGAGUGGCGGACGGGUGAGGAAUACAUCGGAAUCUACUUUUUCGUGGGGGAUAACGUAGGGAAACUUACGCUAAUACCGCAUACGACCUACGGGUGAAAGCAGGGGAUCUUCGGACCUUGCGCGAUUGAAUGAGCCGAUGUCGGAUUAGCUAGUUGGCGGGGUAAAGGCCCACCAAGGCGACGAUCCGUAGCUGGUCUGAGAGGAUGAUCGCCCACACUGGAACUGAGACGCGGUCCAGACUCCUACGGGAGGCGGCAGUGGGGAAUUUUGGACAAGGGGCGCAGGCCUGACCCGCCCAUGCCGGGGGGGUAAAAAAGGCUUUGGGUUUGUAAAGCCUUUUUGUGGGAAAAAAAAAGAAGCAGGUUAAUCCCCCGCUGUUCUGACGGUACCAAAAGAAAAAGCCCGGGCUAACUUCGUC
rnacentral:rRNA from 1 species